GGCAGCACUCGGGGCUCAUCAGCCACUUCUUGAUCUGUUCGUCUCUGCAGCAGGUCCUUCUCUGUCACUGAAAGAUGGGUUCCUACGGCGCGCUGGUCAGCUCCGGCUGUUACAACCCAUGUGAGGUGACGUGCCCGGAGCCAUGCGUCCAGGCCUGCAACCAGCCAUGUGUCACCUCCUGCGGGGACUCGAGAGCUGUGGUCUAUGCACCCCCAGUGAUCGUGACCUUCCCAGGACCCAUCCUCAGCACUUGCCCUCAGGAGAGCCUGGUGGGAACUGUAUUACCCUAUGAAAGUGGACCGAUCAUCCCCAUGGGGGGCUCCUCAUAUGGUGGGGGGAGAUCCUUUGGCUCUGGAGGCUUCACUGGUGGAUCAUAUGGUGGUGGGGUUUCUGGAGGCAGUGGCAGUGGACCAUAUGGAGGUGGUUAUGGAGGUUAUGGAGGUUAUUCUGGUGGUGGUGGAUCAUACGGUGGGGGUAGUUAUGGAGGCUCCAGUGGUGGAGGAGGGUUCUCCAGUGGAGGCUUCAUCGGUGGCGGGUCUGGCUAUGGCGGCUUGGGUUGCGGAGGUGGCUCUUUUGGUGGAGGCAGCUUUACUGGUGGCUCCUCCAGUGGUGGUGGCUACAGGCGCUCCUGUGGAUACAGGCGGUCUUACACUUCUGGCCGGUCCAGCUUUGGCUCUUCUGGGGGGUCCCGCGGUGGCUACUGUGGACCAUGCUAAACUCCAAACAUGGUGCCCUCCAGCAACACUAGGAAUGACCUGGAAAGGAGGACAAGAUCCAGGUUCAUGGCUCGCAUCUGUCCAAUGUGUUUCUGAAGUGCUGAGCUCCUGCGACUCCAAGUGAGGGCUGCGGGAGCUGUGCCCAGGUCUUUGGAAACAAGGGCUCACCUAUCUCUUUCUCACAGUGCGCUUUCCCUCAGGCUUGGUAGGCACUGAUUCCCCAUCUUCAUCCCACACUCCUACUGCUUUGCCAUGUUUGAUGCUGGGCAGGGUCAAUGGAGUCAUUAACUACGUUGACGAGCAGGACUUGACUGUCACAUUCUGGAGCUGCAAGAAGCAGAAGAGAACAUCCUAUGUCUGACCUUGGAGCUGAUGAAUGGUCAUCAUCCUUAUGGGAACCCUGGAAAUACCUUCUUCUUAUUAAUUCUGCACUAUUUCUGUCUGCAGGUGCAUACUGCACCACUCAUUUGAAAUAAAGUUAUGCUGCAUCACA